AUGCCCAAGGAUAAGCGCAUGUAUUGCAGGUUCUCCACCCUGCUUGUUGCAGACAGCCAGACCUUUCCGAGGGACACGAGCCUGUGUCACCCAGCAGCUACCAUUUGCUGGAGGCAGUGGUUUUGCUCUCCUGCAUCUGCUCAGGAGCCGACGGGCUGGCGCUGCGUUGCACGCAGGGACUGCGUUAUGGAGCCCGUGGGACCCAAGGGUGUUGUUGGCGUCGCCGCAAUGCCUGCGGCCGGCCGUGCAGCAGCUGCUGGCCCUGGGCAAGGCUGGGGAGCAGCCAGCCGCUCCUUUGAAAUGAGAUCGUGGGGACAAUGGGAGCUGCCGGCUGGAACACGAGCCCUGCCGAGCUAUGUUGGAUGGAGGGUAAAUGCAAACCUGGAGGCUGAGUGCCGGGUUAGCGGAGGAGAGUGGCCGAGGGGGAGUGAUUUAAAAAGAAAUGCAAAUGCAAAUAAAACAAAAUAAAAUUAAGGCAUCCAUCAUGAAGCACUGACGCAGCUGACAGGCAGCACAAAGGACGUCCGUAAGACAUACAAAGUGCAGCUGGUGUCACCCAGAGGCGAAGCGAAGGAAGCUCUUUGUGGGGAAUGUUUUCCAGAAAAGGACGUUCAGAGCGCUGCGUACAGGUGGCUGUGCUGGCCAUCCAGACCAGCAGCCCGUCUCCGAACAGCAGGUGCCCAGGGGGAAGUGCUUUUUUGCGUCCAGCAGCGCUCCCCGGGAUGCAGUGCCAGCCCCCUGUGCCUUGUGACAAUGGGGUUUCUGUGACAGGAAUCACUCCUGUAUUUAGUAGCGUGAAGCUAAUUGAUCUAGCUGUGGUUUUUUGUCUUCUCCAGACCGUUUUACAGACCCUGCCCAAAGCCCUUUCUCCCUCUGGCUUCUCUUCUAGCUGGAGGGCCGUACUCUUAUCUAUUUGUUCCUGGUACGGAAGCCAUUCACUACCUUGGAUGUCUUUGCAAUUUUCUCCCCUUGAAAUCAGAGGAUCAGAACUGCCAGCAGCACUCAGGACACCAUGAUUAUAGCAACAUUGUCUUUCCUCGUUGCUUCCUCUCCUUUCCUAGGAACCAAGAGGCUGUCUUUCCUCACUCUGCUGAGCACCGAGCUGAGCCUUUCACAGAACUGUCUGUCUCGUGGUUUUGAUCCUGCGUGACAUCAGUGAGCUCGGAGGAAGUCACUGUUUAUUUUAUAUAUUUGUUUAUAUAAUUCUUCAGAGAUGGUCUUUGUCUUUACUUGCCCAUAUCUCCACCUGUAAUUAGCAAACACCUAGCUCUUCACCCCUUUUCCAGGUGAUUUAUGGUGCUAAUAAGCAGGCAUCAGCAUGCCCUGGAGGAAUCCACUGGAUCUACCCUGCUAUGGAAACCAAUCCUAUGGAGACUGGAGUUAUGGAAACAUAUCCCUACCGUUUGCCCUUCCACAGUUCAGUAAGCUUAUCUAUGGGAAGGUUUUCUCUCUUACUCCAAGUUAUUUA
rnacentral:lncRNA from 1 species